AAUACGACCCAUGGGGUCUACUUCAAGACAGGGAGGAGAUAGCCGCUUUCAUUGACGUGGCCUAUUUUUCUUUGACAGGGAGAAGAUGCAGAGAAGAACCAGCAGCUUGGAGAAUAAAGAAAUGGAGGCUGAGGUAAACCCAGGAGGGCAUUUUCAGCCUGAUACCAUCAUCAGUGAUACAAAACUGCCUUGUGCAGAAGGAGAAGCAAACAGGUGGACCAAACAAAAUAUGUCUGCAAGCUUGUAGUGACCCGCAGGCUGUAAGACUGUGGUCUCUGCUGUACAGAAACAAAAGGGCAGGAGGUGGCCAGACUGAGAAGGACCAACGGCUACGAGAGAGAAGAACAAAGAGAAGAAGAAAUCAAGAAGACUGUUGCUUGAUUUUCCUCCCAUCUUAUUGAUUUGUUUUAUGCGACCACCAGAGCAGGCGCCAGAGAAAAGGCAAGUAGGCAAGGUAAAAAA
rnacentral:lncRNA from 1 species